UACGUAGGAGACGAGCGUUGUCCGGAGUUACUGGGCGUAAAGGGUGCGCAGGCGGCCUGGCGCGUCGCGAGUGAAAUCUCCCGGCUCAACUGGGAGGGCGGUCGCGAGACGGCGAGGCUUGAGGCGUGGAGAGGGGCGUGGAAUUCCGGGUGGAGCGGUGAAAUGCGUAGAGAUCAGGAGGAACACCGACGGCGUAGGCAGCGCCCUGGACACGACCUGACGCUCAGGCACGAAAGCGCGGGGAGCGAACAGG
rnacentral:rRNA from 1 species